AUUGAAGGGCUCGCCGGCCAAGUCGCCAUCUUCCAAAGCCUUUUGCUCUUCUAAGGGGAGACGGAGAUGACCGGAGAAGAGGUGUCGGGUCCCCCCGGGCCGAAGGCCCUUCGUCUCCUGUACUUCGUCGGCGCCGGAUGUGGCGUGAGCUGGAGCGGAAGUCCCUUGAACAGCAGCAACACGGGUUGAAGGAUGAAUCGCCCCAUGACCCGGCUGCCAAAGCUGUGCCCAAAGCCAUCGAUUGACUGGUUCUUCAGGUUCUUUUCUGGGAUUAAAAGUGCUUGCUUUGUCUUCCUAAUGUAAUUUUGCUAAUUUGGUUUGGCUGUAAUUUUCGUUCUUUUUGGGUUCAUGUCCUGGAGUUUGGACUUGGGUUUUUUUUUUAAAAUUUGAUUCAGCUGGAAGAACAUGGUAGAAUUGAGCUUGUCGAAGAGACUCUGAUUUGCGGUGGCUGAUGUGAUAACUAUAUCAUUACUUGAGAGUUGGGACCGAAAUGUGAAAGCAUACAAUGAUACCCCCUUACUUCCAUUUA